GGCAUAGCAGCUGCAGGCCAUUGGCAAGGCCAGAAGACGGUCCAGGAGUCGCAAGUUAUCUUGGGACCUCAAAAGGAGAGGAAUUUACUCAACUCACAGGAUAUAUUAUUCAACCCAUCCACAAGAGCAUCUCUCCAGGAGAAAUAAACAGGCGUUACUUUUGAUGAACUAGAGCUAUUCUAAGUAAAGCCUUCAGAUGAGUUCAGCACCAAUCAACAUUCUGAAUGCAACCACGUGAGGACCCUGAGUCAGGUCCACUGAGUCAAGCUGCUUUGGAAUUCCUGACCUACAGAAACCGAAUACCAGGAUAGAGAGAAAGAGAAGCCACAAUGAUACCACAGAAAGAAAGCUAGACAUCUUCAUUCAGGGAAACUGCAGGACAGAGAAGGUCAAUGCUGUCCCUAAGGCCGCACUGCUAAGGGUCCAAGAAUCCUGUCUUGGGGUCAGGAUCAGGACCCCUUUCUGGUAACAUCUUCCUGGCUGGCCAUGAAGGGAUGAUACUGAGGAGACCCCCGACAAAGGAAAUAGACUGCAGCACUGAUUUGCUGACUUUGGGUAA
rnacentral:lncRNA from 1 species